rnacentral:rRNA from 1 species
CCUACGUGGCGCAGCAGUGGGGAAUAUUGCACAAUGGGGGAAACCCUGAUGCCGCGACGCCGCGUGAGUGAAGAAGCGCCUCGGCGCGUAAAGCUCUGUCAGCAGGAACGAUAGUGACGGUACCUGAAGAAGAAGCCCCGGCUAACUACGUGCCAGCAGCCGCGGUAAUACGUAGGGGGCAAGCGUUAUCCGGAUUUACUGGGUGUAAAGGGAGCGUAGACGGCGGUGCAAGCCAGAUGUGAAAGCCCGGGGCUCAACCCCGGGACUGCAUUUGAAACUGUGCUGCUAGAGUGUCGGAGAGGCAGGCGGAAUUCCUAGUGUAGCGGUGAAAUGCGUAGAUAUUAGGAGGAACGCCAGUGGCGAAGGCGGCCUGCUGGACGAUGACUGACGUUGAGGCUCGAAAGCGUGGGGAGCAAACAGGAUUAGAUACCCCUGUAGUC